rnacentral:rRNA from 1 species
CCUACGGGAGGCAUCAGUGGGGAAUAUUGGACAAUGGGCGAAAGCCUGAUCCAGCAAUGCCGCGUGAGUGAUGAAGGCCUUAGGGUUGUAAAGCUCUUUUACCCGGGAUGAUAAUGACAGUACCGGGAGAAUAAGCUCCGGCUAACUCCGUGCCAGCAGCCGCGGUAAUACGGAGGGAGCUAGCGUUAUUCGGAAUUACUGGGCGUAAAGCGCACGUAGGCGGCUUUGUAAGUUAGAGGUGAAAGCCUGGAGCUCAACUCCAGAAUUGCCUUUAAGACUGCACCGCUUGAAUCCAGGAGAGGUGAGUGGAAUUCCGAGUGUAGAGGUAAAAUUCGUAGAUAUUCGGAAGAACACCGGUGGCGAGGGCGGCUCACUGGACUGGUAUU